rnacentral:rRNA from 1 species
GACGAACGCUGGCGGCGUGCUUAACACAUGCAAGUCGAACGGAAAGGCCCUGCUUUUGUGGGGUGCUCGAGUGGCGAACGGGUGAGUAACACGUGAGUAACCUGCCCUUGACUUUGGGAUAACUUCAGGAAACUGGGGCUAAUACCGGAUAGGAGCUCCUGCUGCAUGGUGGGGGUUGGAAAGUUUCGGCGGUUGGGGAUGGACGCGCGGCUUAUCAGCUUGUUGGUGGGGUAGUGGCUUACCAAGGCUUUGACGGGUAGCCGGCCUGAGAGGGUGACCGGCCACCUUGGGACUGAGAUACGGCCCAGACUCCUACGGGAGGCAGCGGUGGGGAAUAUUGCACAAUGGGCGGAAGCCUGAUGCAGCAACGUCGCGUGCGGGAUGACGGCCUUCGGGUUGUAAACCGCUUUCGCCUGUGACGAAGCGUGAGUGACGGUAAUGGGUAAAGAAGCACCGGCUAACUACGUG